GUGUCAGCAGCCGCGGUAAUACGUAGGUGGCAAGCGUUGUCCGGAUUUAUUGGGCGUAAAGCGAGCGCAGGCGGAAAAAUAAGUCUAAUGUGAAAGCCCUCGGCUUAACCGAGGAACUGCAUCGGAAACUGUUUUUCUUGAGUGCAGAAGAGGAGAGUGGAACUCCAUGUGUAGCGGUGGAAUGCGUAGAUAUAUGGAAGAACACCAGUGGCGAAGGCGGCUCUCUGGUCUGCAACUGACGCUGAGGCUCGAAAGCAUGGGUAGCGAACAGGAUUAGAUACCCUGGUAGUCCAUGCCGUAAACGAUGAGUGCUAAGUGUUGGGAGGUUUCCGCCUCUCAGUGCUGCAGCUAACGCAUUAAGCACUCCGCCUGGGGAGUACGACCGCAAGGUUGAAACUCAAAGGAAUUGACGGGGGCCCGCACAAGCGGUGGAGCAUGUGGUUUAAUUCGAAGCAACGCGAAGAACCUUACCAGGUCUUGACAUCUAGUGCAAUCUGUAGAGAUACGGAGUUCCCUUCGGGGACGCUAAGACAGGUGGUGCAUGGCUGUCGUCAGCUCGUGUCGUGAGAUGUUGGGUUAAGUCCCGCAACGAGCGCAACCCUUGUUAUUAGUUGCCAGCAUUAAGUUGGGCACUCUAAUGAGACUGCCGGUGACAAACCGGAGGAAGGUGGGGAUGACGUCAAGUCAUCAUGCCCCUUAUGACCUGGGCUACACACGUGCUACAAUGGGCAGUACAACGAGAAGCAAGCCUGCGAAGGCAAGCGAAUCUCUGAAAGCUGUUCUCAGUUCGGACUGCAGUCUGCAACUCGACUGCACGAAGCUGGAAUCGCUAGUAAUCGCGGAUCAGCACGCCGCGGUGAAUACGUUCCCGGGCCUUGUACACACCGCCCGUCACACCAUGGGAGUCUGCAAUGCCCAAAGCCGGUGGCCUAACCUUCGGGAAGGAGCCGUCUAAGGCAGGGCAGAUGACUGGGGUGAAGUCGUAACAAGGUAACC
rnacentral:rRNA from 1 species